GUCGCCACUCAGACCCGGUGGUACUUUGUUUAGAUGUUAUAAAUUUGGACGGAAGACACACCAGAUCUCAAUUCUGUGGAAGCAAAUCAUUGAACGCAAUGGAGGAGUCCUCACCAGUGCCUUGAAUGUCAGCUGCCUGGCGAAGGUCACUGACGGCUUCACCCAAGGACAUAUAGUCGAAGUGGUUAAAGGCGUGCUCACAGAUCAGAGAAUCCGGCGGCAAAUUCAUAAACCUCUCACUGCAGUUGAGUUUAUUACGGCGAUAACCAGCAUGAAUCCAGUGUACAAAGAGGAAGAAGAGAGCUUUAAGAACUGGUAUGCCAAAACUCCUCUGGGUAAAAAACGUGCCUUGGCGAUAACAGGAGGCAGCACAGAAAAGGCAAAGGACAAAGGGAAAAGGAAAUAAAAGAAAGAGAAAAAGGCAAAAAAGAAAAAGUAAUGCCUUUCUGAAGAACCAUGCUUGAGUCUCUCUGGGAUGGAGAGGACCCCAACUCGCCAAAGAAAAGAUUCACCAUUGCCCGCCUGAAGAAGCCCUCAGGGGAAGGAACUUAGCAGUGUGCAGGUGAGCUGAUGCCGCAAACCCGCUAACCACUGCAUGUGCUGUUAUGCCUUUCCCAGGCUGGACACCUAGCUGGGUGUUCAUCAUAACUUUCCACAGCUUUAAUCCACGCCAAGUUUGUAUAUAACUGAAAUUCACUCUUGACACCCUCCACAGUCUUUCCAAGUUGGACUCUUCCUCUCAUCAGUACUAGUUGUCAAAUUUAAAAUGUGACAGUUAAAGAAUAUUCUAGUUUGACAAUUAGUAAGCAAUGAGUAUAUCAUCAGUACACUAGCUUUUUAUUAAUCCAUGUACACUGUAUAGUAUCUUGC
rnacentral:lncRNA from 10 species